rnacentral:misc_RNA from 1 species
CAGAGGAGUGUUUUAUGGCACUCUUUAAAAAUCCAUAUCCACCUUGUGUGCAAUGUUUGUUGGGAGAGAGGCAACUCUCUUUCCCUUCACAAAUAUCAACCUAUAUCUUUAACAACAUUCGUCUGAUAACAUAUUAUGAAUAUACUUAAUUCAAAAUA